GACGAUUGUACAAAAACAUAUUUUAUUUUAAAGACGACGGACAUUGUGCUAUCAGUUCCCCUUUCUUCCAUUUCCACCAAUCCGAAGGUCUGUGGGAAGGAUGGGAGUAAGUGGGUAGGGAGGGGAGGAGAGAUCCUGGUUCCAGCAGGGUACAGGGAAAAGAUGGCUGCUGAGAGGCGGAGCCUACGCCUGCGCAUCGCCGUCUUUACUCCUCCACACCACAAGCGUAACGAGGAAAGGGAUGAGGCAGAUGGGGGCUAUGAUCAUGGCCAGAAGCACAUCCUCUGGGGGAUCGGAGAAGGUAUUUCCAGAGUACAGUCUUCUGCCUUUAGAGAAGGGAAUCCCUCUGAAAAUCUCCCUA
rnacentral:lncRNA from 14 species